GCUUGGUGUCAUGUGGAUAUCUCAGUUAGUAAGAGCAUGAGACUCUUAAUCUCAGUGUUGUGGGUUUGAGCCCCACACUGGGCA